ensembl:lncRNA
AUUUCUUCAUAAAGUCAGAAGGCCCUGGGGAAACAACAUUGACUUUUACUCCCCAAAAUCCAUGGAAAUGUGAACUGUUCUGCUCUCCCUUGCAAACUGCAGUGUGUGUCUUAGUUGCUGGGUUACCAGCUCAAACACAAGCCCUACGCUGUUGCCAGGGAAGUGCAGUUAGCAAUUAAGUAAAGGAAAUGACUGUGGGUUUGAAACCAAAUACUGUCCCGUUCUUCGCUCGGUGAAGCAUCUCUGUUACUCAGACAACUUUAUCGCUAAGGAAGUACUUGUGACUCAUCCUCAUACAGAGUGACUUAUUAAAAAUCCCAGUGUUCAGUGACUGUGCCAUGGUGCUUCUGCUCCCUAUUCGUUGGACUAAGGCAGAAAAAUCUACGUUUGGCUGGCAUGUUAUUCACUGACUGACCCAUGCAUUUAUAAUGCAAUAGCCACAUGGUGAUCAGAAUAAAUGCUUCCAUGGGAUGUUUCGAUUUUCUCACGAAAUGGGGGAGAUCCACAUUUGUUUCAUUAAACGCAGCGGGUCCGGAACUUGUAUUGUUUGGAUUGGGAAAUACAUCAUCUAUUCUCUCCGGGAGAACUGAGGAACUUGAGACGGAUUUCAAACCAAAACAGGAGACAAAGGAGUGGAGCCCAAAGGGAAGCACAGAUACAACUAUUCCAGACACACCAGGAGACAAGAAGAGGUCUCGAGAUGACUGAGAAUGUGAGGCUCUCAAAAAAAAAAAACCUAUCGUAAACCAACAUGGAAGAGAGAAGUUGAUAUUUAUUUAAAAAGUUUGUUUCGUUUCACUUUACAUUGCGUAUGAAAAUCAGUGUGGAAAACAAGAGGAAAAAGAACAUAGACAUGAACUUUGCUCCUCUUCCAAAGGACCUCCUAUGCUGUCAGGAAAGAAGUAGAAAGUGAAGGAAAAGUAAAUACAUAUACUUGAUUCAGAAACGAAAUAUUUUGUGCUUCGUAAAACCCAGCAAACCUAAGUGGAAGAAUGAUAGAAUGGGGAUUGUUUAUAAUAUAAUAAAAGAACAGUGA